GACGAACGCUGGCGGCGUGCCUAAUACAUGCAAGUUGAGCGAUGAAGAUUGGUGCUUGCACCAAUUUGAAGAGCAGCGAACGGGUGAGUAACGCGUGGGGAAUCUGCCUUUGAGCGGGGGACAACAUUUGGAAACGAAUGCUAAUACUGCAUAACAACUUUAAACAUAAGUUUUAAGUUUGAAAGAUGCAAUUGCAUCACUCAAAGAUGAUCCCGCGUUGUAUUAGCUAGUUGGUGAGGUAAAGGCUCACCAAGGCGAUGAUACAUAGCCGACCUGAGAGGGUGAUCGGCCACAUUGGGACUGAGACACGGCCCAAACUCCUACGGGAGGCAGCAGUAGGGAAUCUUCGGCAAUGGACGAAAGUCUGACCGAGCAACGCCGCGUGAGUGAAGAAGGUUUUCGGAUCGUAAAACUCUGUUGGUAGAGAAGAACGUUGGUGAGAGUGGAAAGCUCAUCAAGUGACGGUAACUACCCAGAAAGGGACGGCUAACUACGUG
rnacentral:rRNA from 1 species